GUCAGGAUCGCCGAGCGGUCUAAGGCGCUGCAAUCAGGUCGCAGUCCACUUGCGUGUUCGGGGGUCCAUAACCCACGUCAAGCAAUUAUAUUUUGUUGAGUUAUUUUUUUUUUUAGUUCUCAUAAAGUAAAUUAAAGGAAACGUUUUCUCAAAUUUCAGGCUGGCCAAGCAGUCAAAGGUGCUGCGUUCAUGUCGAAGUCCACUCGGUUUUGGCGUGGGUUCGAAUCCCCCUUCUGAUA